rnacentral:rRNA from 1 species
UUCCGGUUGAUCCUGCCGGAGGCUACCGCUAUUGGAGUUCGAUUAAGCCAUGCGAGUCGCGAGAAAUUAGAUUCUCGGCGUACCGCUCAGUAACACGUGGGUAACCUGCCCUAUGCUGGAUAAUAACCUCGGGAAACUGAGAAUAAUGAUCCAUAGUUCACUACGCCUGGAACGGUGAGUGGAUGAAAGCUCCGGCGGCAUAGGAUGGGCCUGCGGCGUAUCAGGUUGUAGGGGGUGUAACGUACCCUCUAGCCCUCUACGCGUACGGGUGUUGGGAGACAUAGCCCGGAGAUGGAUUCUGAGACACGAAUCCAGACCCUACGGGGUGCAGCAGGCGCGAAAACUUGGCAAUGCGAGAAAUCGUGACCAGGGAACUCCAAGUGCAUCGGGUAAGACCGGUGCUUUUCUUGACUCUAAAUAGGUCUUGGAAUAAGGGGUGGGUAAGGACGGUGCCAGCCGCCGCGGUAAUACCGGCGCCUCAAGUGGUAGUCGCUUUUAUUGGGCCUAAAACGUCCGUAGCCGGUCUGAUACAUUCGUGGGUAAAUCAACCAGCUUAACUGGUUGAAUUCUGCGAGGACGGUCAGACUUGGGACCGGGAGAGGUGUGGGGUACGCUCAGGGUAGGGGUAAAAUCCUGUCAUCCUGAGCGGACCACCUGUUGCGAAGGC